ACUUAAAAGAAUAUGAUUUCAAAUUUUGAAGUGAAUUUAUAUAAAAACGGAAUUUCAACAAGAAAAAUGUCUCUCCUAAAACUAGUUAACUGUAGUGCAUUAAGUAACAAUUUUCGCUGCAUAUAAAUACCACAGAAUUUAAGUUUAAAUGAUACAUUUCAAGUUAUCUCCUCUGCAAAUAUCUAUACAGCCUUGUGAUGAAAUUCAACUCCAUUAACUGCAGGCAAAUGUAUUCAUUUUAAAUGCAUGUAGAGGAUGUUGCUCCAUACUGACUUUAUGAAUCUUUCAUCAAAUUACAGGGUUCUUGACAGCAUCUUUGUCCCAAACUGCAAUUGUAGAUUGUCCAAAUCUACGAUGUUAUCUACCCAACCACUAAAUGUAUGAAAAUGAUACUGGCAAGUGUUAGUGCCAUCAUUCAGUCUUCUCCACUGAGGGAAGAAGGUGGCCAAGAGUUCCGGUUUGUGACUUUGAUGCUGGGGAAGGGCCAUAUCUCACUUUCUGAACAGAAGAAGAGUAGCCUUUCUUAAGAUUUCCUUUUUGAAAUAAUGCUGGAUAAAAUAUUUAAAAUUAUAGAAUUAUAAAAUUUCAAAGCUGGUGUUGGAAGCUCGUUUUUCAUGAAUAAGAAAAUGUUCUUAAAUUCAUUCAAAUUAAGGAACGCAAGGAAUUCAAAAUUUCCUGUUGCGUCUACAGUGAAUACUGAGCAUGGUGGAUGAUGCUAUUUUAUAGAGCAGCCUCUUUUGCUAUUAUGGCCCUCAUAGAUUUGAAUGGUGAAAGAAAGGAACACGUGGUGAUUAUUAAACCAUUUUCCUCUCUACUAAUGUCAAUUAAAAUCUAAUUUAAAACAGUAUUUAUUUGUAUUGUGUAACUAUUUGCUAUUAGGAAUCUGAAUUUUUAGAUAUUUCUAUAAAACUUCCUAUUUAGGGCUUUAAACAAGAUAUUUGCAAUUCAUUAAAUGGUUUUUUAUGUGAUAAAGAUAACUGCUUAACUCUUAUUUCAAAAAUUUAAACCUACAAUAGGCAAAUAUGUAUUUCGUUUUGAAUAAUCAUUUUUUUAAUGUCAAAUAUUUUAAGUAAAAAUUUUAAAGUUAAACAUUACGUAUUUUAUCCAGGAUAAAUUGUGUUGGCCUUCAAUACUAUUUUAGAGGUACCAAUCUUCUUAAUAACUAUUUUUAUUGCUCAAACCCAGAAGGAAGCACAUGCAUCUAAUUAAUGUAAAGUGAGGAGGCAUAAUAUAGAUUUUCUUUACUGAUAUAAUGAACAUAGUGAAAAUAUAUCUGUGCAUUUUUUAUAUUAUUAUUUGAUUUUAAAAAUCUUAUUGAUGUUUGAGAACCCAACAUUGUAGCUAUUAUUUUUAAAGUCAUUAUAUGUGAUUAUAUGCUAUUUUAAUGUUUAUGAUCAAUAUCCAUGAUAACAUUAUUUUGUAAUUGCCUCUUUAUGAAAUCAGGAAAUGUAUAUUUAUAUGGGUGACUUUUUUCCCCAAAAUUUCAGAGUGACCAGAAACAGUCUUAAUUUCUAGGUCUGAAUGUGUUGAUUACUUGAACAGAACACUACUACCCAUUAGAAAAAUUAUGUUUAUUUUUGAUAGAUGUUUUCUAGACUCUUAUAAUUCAUUUAGUUUUCUUUAGGGUCUAAUUUUAGAUGAGACCUUAUUAGGGAAAAUAUUGUUUACAGAAAAAUACAUUUUGAAAAAUUACCUACAGUAAUAAGGAAAUUUUUCUGAAAUGUGAGUUCCGUACCCCUCAGAGAAUGACUUAGAGCCAGUGAGAAGAGAGUGACAUGAAAGUCCUAAGGAAAUCCCUACAAAUAACCUUAAUAAUAUAAAAGGAAGAUAGGACUUAUUUUUAGUGCUUAUUACAUUGGCUAAAAUUUUUAUGUCAGGUGAAAUGUCAAAACAGUUUACUACUAGCUCUCAGCAUUUUAAUCUCAUAUGUCUCUUGAUAUCAAUUUUGGCUAACCAGUAAAAUUUGUUAUUUUUAAGUUUAGGAAAAUGCAAGAAGACAUAUGUAGAUGAGACAAAGAUAGACCAUGUCUAUACAUGUAUGAAAUGGAUGGGAGACAAAGGAAGCAACACUCAUGAGCCAGGACCAUAAAAGCCACAGAAAUAUAAGAAAUGAAUGGGACUACUCUCUGAUCAUUGAAAAAGAGAGACAGAACAUUCGAUGGAGGCAGAAAGAGCAAGGAGUCAGAUGGUAUUGCCUCUGAAUUUGCUGAUUCAGAAGAUGUCGGACUCAUGUUAUCCUAUAGAAGAUGUAACAACCCAUAUACAUUUAUGAAAAUCAGGAACUACAUUAUUAUAAUGAUGAAGGAAAAGCCCAAGAAAUCAACCAACCUGAAACCUGCAAUGAAGCUGUGCAGCUGUCUUUGCCAACAGGGUUCUGCACCUCAAAACUGUAUACCCCACUGUCACUCGGUGCUACAUUGAUGAUCUUAAGGCCGGAUACUUUGUUGAAGAAGCUUAUUUUGUAUUUGUUGUCACUUGUUAGCUCUUUUCCAUCCUUAAACCACUUAGUACUGAGUUCAGGGGUGCCAGCUACUGUACACUCCAAGGUACAGGUGUCUCCCGUGGUAACUUUUAUGGAUUCUGGCUUUUCUACAAUUGUUGCAGGCUCUGGAAUGAAAUGUAAAAGAUAUCCAUAUUUUAAACUCAAAUUGAAAAACUAAAGAAAAUACAGAUCCUG